CCCUACGGGACGCAGCAGUGAGGAAUAUUGGUCAAUGGGCGGGAGCCUGAACCAGCCAAGCCGCGUGAGGGAAGAAGGUACAGCGUAUCGUAAACCUCUUUUGUCAGGGAACAAAGGCGGGGACUAGUCCCCGGAUGAGGGUACCUGAAGAAAAAGCAUCGGCUAACUCCGUGCCAGCAGCCGCGGUAAUACGGAGGAUGCGAGCGUUAUCCGGACUUAUUGGGUUUAAAGGGAGCGUAGAUGGGUUGUUAAGUCAGUUGUGAAAGUUUGCGGCUCAACCGUAAAAUUGCAAUUGAUACUGGCAG
rnacentral:rRNA from 1 species